CCCAGGCGUCAGGUUAGAGACCUGCCACAGGGCUGUAAGAAGGAGGGAGGCAGCCCCCUGCAGUCCCACAGCAACGCGGGGAGCUGAGCUGCUCCGGCCACUGUUGUCAGCGCUCAGCGGUCCCUGGUGCUAAUGAACCAACUGAGGCACACUAGGUACGACGUGGGAUCCCACAGAUUUGGAAGGUGUGGUACACUGCCACGAGUCCCCUGCCACUGAAAAACACGUCGGCACCACCCUCGCGGAGGCCGCAGCCGCCACCCUGUGGCCCCUGGGCCUGCAAAGAGGUUUCAAGGGGAGCAGAACACGAGACUGUUAACCAGACUCAGCUUUCGGGGCUUUUCACGGCACUCUUGCUGGUUAUCAAGCCCAAUUUAACUUCACCAGAUAAUUGGCUCAUGUAAUUAUGGAAGCCCAGAAGUCCCAAGAUUUAUCAUCAGCAAGAUGGAGAUCCAGCAGAGCUUUGGUGUUGUUCCAGUUCAAUCAACCAGGCAGGUGACGUUCCCUUUUACUCAGUCCUUUAGCUCCAUGCAGUUCUUCAGUUGACUGGAUGGGGACCACCCACAUUAGAAAGGACAAUAUGCUUUCCUUGGUCUACAGAUUCAAAUGUCAAUCUCAUCCAGAAACACUCUCCCAGAUGCACCCAGAAUAAUGAUGGUCCAAAUAUGUUGUGUUAUAAUGUGACAUGAUGAGAACAAAAAUUAGCGAAGAGAGAUAAGACUAAAUUAUGUAAAUUUAUUGAUAAAAAAUGUAACUUCCCUAUUAAAAGACAAAAAUCUUUUAGAUUGGAAAUUAACAACAGUAUUUUGUCAAAUGUGGUUUUCAAUUAGCAUACCUCAGAUAAAAUGACAUAAAAUAUGAAUGUAAAAUGAUGGGCAAAGAUAUAUCAGGCAAAUUUAAACAAAAGGACAGCAGGUGUCAAGCUAUUAAUAUAAAAAAAGUAGACUUUAAAGACAUAAAUUAAAAUGGAGAAAUGCUAUCAUUUUAUAUAUAAAAGGGCACGAUUCACAGUGAAGAUAAAAUUUAAGCAUCAAUGUGCCUCUUUCAAUACU